rnacentral:rRNA from 1 species
GACGUAGGAGGCGAGCGUUAUCCGGAUUCACUGGGCGUAAAGCGCAUGUAGGCGGCUGUGCAAGUCGUGUGUUAAAGCCCCUGGCUCAACUGGGGGAGGUCAUGCGAGACUGCACGGCUGGAGGGCAGUAGAGGCACAUGGAACUCCCGGUGUAGCGGUGGAAUGCGUAGAGAUCGGGAAGAACACCCGUGGCGAAAGCGGCGCACUGGACCACAACUGACGCUGAGGCGCGAAAGCUAGGGGAGCAAACAGG